GUAGGUGAACCUGCGGAAGGAUCAUUACCGAGUUAGGGCCCUCUGGGCUCGACCUCCUACCCUUUGUCUACUUUACCAUUUGUUGCUUCGGCGGAUCCGUCCCUCCGGGGACCGCCGGAGGGCCGACGCCCUCUGGCCCGCGUCCGCCGGUAGCCCACAACCAAAACUCUUGUUUACACGUGCCGUCUAAGUACAAAAAUAAAAUAAGUAAAAACUUUCAACAACGGAUCUCUUGGUUCUGGCAUCGAUG
rnacentral:misc_RNA from 1 species